rnacentral:rRNA from 1 species
GAUGAACGCUGGCGGCGUGCCUAAUACAUGCAAGUCGAGCGAACGGACGAGAAACUUGCUUCUCUGAUGUUAGCGGCGGACGGGGGAGUAAAACGUGGAGAACCUACCUAUAAGACUGGGAUAACUUAGGGAAACCGGAGCUAAUACCGGAUAAUAUUUUGAACCGCAUGGUUCAAAAGUGAAAGACGGUCUUGCUGUCACUUAUAGAUGGAUCCGCGCUGCAUUAGCUAGUUGGUAAGGUAACGGCUUACCAAGGCAACGAUGCAUAGCCGACCUGAGAGGGUGAUCGGCCACACUGGAACUGAGACACGGUCCAGACUCCUACGGGAGGCAGCAGUAGGGAAUCUUCCGCAAUGGGCGAAAGCCUGACGGAGCAACGCCGCGUGAGUGAUGAAGGUCUUCGGAUCGUAAAACUCUGUUAUUAGGGAAGAACAUAUGUGUAAGUAACUGUGCACAUCUUGACGGUACCUAAUCAGAAAGCCACGGCUAACUACGUG